AUAUAGCAGCACCAGACCUGUGUCCACACAUGUACAGGGACAACCAGCCACCGGGGACCACUACUUAUCCUUACAGAAAUCAAGAAUCAAAAGCAAGCAGCUUUCUAUCAUUAUAAUGCAGUGCCUUAUACAAUCAACUUAGAAAGACAAAAGACUUAUUUGGUUCACAGGUUCCAGUCCAUGCUCAGUUCGUGGUGCUGCAGCUUUGGGCCUACAAGGAGGCAGCCUGUGGUAGGGAUGUGGGGUAGAGUGAAACCACACAGCUCAUGACCUUUGUAUCACUUUCCUGUUACUGUUACUGUGGUAAAAGACCAUGACCAGAAGUGACUUAUAGAUGAAAAGUUUAGACGGAUUAGAGUCCUCAUGGCAGGGUAGUGUGGCCACAGGUAGCUGAAGAAGGAGGCUGAGAGAUCACAUUUCAACCUUACAAAGAAGGCUGAGAGAACUGGGAGCCGGGAGAGGCUAUACACUGUGAAAGCCCGGCCCCAUAGUGACAUACUUCUUCCAAAUAGGCUCCACCCACCAAACGUUUCAUAACUUUCCAAAACAGCAUCGCUUACAGGGGGCCACAUAUUUAAACACACAACCACAUGGAGACCAUGGCCUCUUUCAAAGCUUGCAGCCUCCAAGCGACAAAGAUGAGAAAAAGGAAAGGGCACCUGAGUCUGAGCAACUUGUGCCAGCCUCCUUGCUGGUCACGUGAUUCAGCUACAGCCAGAGAGAGUCACCUCGUUUUAGGCUGAAGGUCAGAAUUCCAAAAUCAAGGUGUUGCUGGGAUAUCAUACCCUCUGUUGGUGCAGAAGAGAACUUUGCCUAGUGACUGGUGGCUGGCACUCUUUGUGGCACUCUGCUCUCUGAAAAACAUGUCACGAACAGUCCUAUAAAGAAAUCCAUGUGAAAAGAAGCUAAAGCCUCUACCAUCUUAGCUGUUAAAGAAUGGAGAUUCCAAAGAAACAUUCCCCACUGUGUUCUGCAAGGAUUCCUGACUGGAUCUGUCUAUUUAGCCCAGGCUGUCCUGGAACUUGCUAAGUGCUAAGGAGAACAGACUGGUUCAAACUCACAACAGUAUGCCAAGCGGGAUUAAAGGUGUGUGCCACUAUUCCUGGCUGUAUUACCCUUAAAAAAACAAAACAAAAAACCAAUCGUUACUUAAGAAAACUUAGUUACUUAAGAAAACAAUGGCUAACCCAGCUUGCUCCUCACCCUUUUCCUCUCUCCCUUCCCCCUAUUCUUCUUCGGUGUCAGCAGUUAUCUUGCUUGUGUCAAAACACACUUUCCUUUUUUUGAAGACCUCCUUUUACUUCAGUGAUGUUAUGGUACAGUGCCUGCAGAGCUGUACAUUAAAAAUAAUUGCCUACCAGUGAAAUAAAAGAAUUAUCCUGAGACAGGCUUGGUGUGGGGAAGACCCCAUUUCUGACAUGAGACAAUAUCAGGAUACUACACUGUGAAGGAAAGCUGCACGAGCUGUAGAAGUGAUAGCUUAAAUGACAGAGUAUACAUUCUCCCACGAUUCUAGAGGCCAAAAUCUUAACAUGUCAAAGUGUCAAUAGGGUCAGUCUCUUUGCAGACUUCCCCCUUGGCUGAUAGAUGGCCUGCUAUACCGAUAUAAACUUGGUCCUCCUCUGCAUGCCUGUGUAUGCCUCUCUCCUUACUGCACUGGCAUCUACUUUAAUGACUUACUUUUGCUUAGAGACAUGAAUCUAAACAUAGUCAGUCCUAUCAUGACUUCGGGUUAGGGUUUCAGUUAUAAAUUCAGAGAAGAGAGGACAGAAUCCAGCUACCAUUAAUUACCAUUAAUUAAUUACAGAAUUAUUUGGAUGUCAGUUCCUCAUCGAUGUCCAGUUUGAGCAGUGCUAAACUAGACACCAUCAGAGCCCGAAAUGCAGAUUCAGGGGUUAAUUUGGGAGCUUCACUGGGGUUGGCUGUUGCAAGCUCCUCUUGUUACAGAUUGUUCAUUACAAACAUUAAAACAAGCUGCCACAUCUCUGGCCAUACAGUCCUCAUCUCGUCUAAACAAGCUGCAGAACUGAUUACCUGGAUUGACUGCCAAUCAGGAGAAAUCUGCUAGGGGCAGAUGUGCUGAGGAAGCCACUUAAGCACCAAGGGGACAGUGGAGGAGUCAUAAGUCGGCAACCCUGCGUCGUGGGUCACGAUGUUAUGGGAUGAGACCCCAUAGUCACAACACCCCUCUAUAGCUGCUUUUAGAAAUCUGAGAGUAGAAGGCUGUGGAGAUGUUCCCACUUAAUAUGUAGGUAAAUUUGUUUUGGCAUUUGAAGGAGAGACACUAAUGAGUAAUUCAUCUCUGUCACGUUAAAACUCCCCAGUUCCUCUGGAUAAAUGCUAACUGGUUUUACUUGGAAACCACGAGGACUUUUCUAUUGUUCUGAAUGGAAGGAGGGGCUUUCUUACCAUCUUACUCCCUGGGUUUAGAUAAAGUUUCCAGAGGAGGUUGACAUACAGGCACUGGGAUUCUCUAACUAUCCCUACUUGUUCAUCAAGACAUUUAAUUUAAUUUAAGCCAUGCCCCUGUCAGUGAGUUACUAUUUCAGCUGCUUUUAUAUUUUGUAUGCACAUAUGUUAAAAAUAGUGAUAUAGUGGAAAAGUCUAAAACAUACGACAAUGUUCAUAACCCUAUUUUUGUAUUUCUUUAUGUUUGGGGGAUAACUGCAUGAUGAAACAUGCCAUCAGCAGACUAUGUGACUCUAACCGUGGGAAAACUAUUAAGGUCCAAGACCACCAUGACUAGAUGAUGGCCCUUAAGCUAGGCACAAAAUGGGAGACUCCGUUGUUAGGAGGUUUUCUCUUCCUUUAACCUUGUCUGGGGGAUUCUAGUCCCCGCACUUACCCUUACCUGAGAAAAGUCAUGUAGCAUAAAAAUCUGGAGCUCUUUAUGUUAAUGAGGUAUCUAGAUAGGCUUCAGUGUUCAGCCAAUGAGCGUCCCUUCCCAGGCAUUCCUUUCUGCAAAAGGUACUGAAUCCCUAGGUCUCCCCACUCCUCCCCUCCCCAAGGUAAGGUGUAUGCAUUCCCAUUUGCCAUCAAAUAAAACAGUUUGGACAAGCAAUCAGGGGGGGCCUUUGUCAUAAAGAGCUGUCACAAAGGCUUCCCAGAGAAGGCCUUCUCUCUCCCAGCCCUACUCUGGGCACUCAAACCAAACCUGGCUCACCCCCCUUCCAGGCUCAGCCUUCACCUUUCUGCCUAGCUCAUGGACUCCCUGAGGGGAAACAUGAACCAGGAAACCUGUUCCCAGCUCCCAGUGGUGCCUGGGUACACAAGAGACUGGGAACACAGGAGUCCUCCCAGAUUGAGGACCCCCAUACAACUUUGCUCUGCCUCCUCUGAGCGGUUUGCUGGUGCUCCGGCCCACCCCUAGCUUCAAUAUAGUUAUUUGGGAAGUUGUUUUUUCAUCUUAAGAGAUUGUGAUCUUAAUUCCCCAAUGGCUACCUUCCUCCGUAAAUGGCAGCCGUGGGGUCAAAUCCAAGGUCACUCCACCAUGGCUGUCAAAACAAGAAACAGUCUAACUCUGUCUAUACUGUUUCUGACUUGUUGCUUCAUUUGAGGUUUUUAUUUUAUUUGUUUGUUUGUUUAUUUAUUUAUUUACUGGUGUUUUUUGCAGCGGCCUUCCAAGGUAACCCUGAGAAUAUUCCUAUACUCAAAGAAGGAAUACCUAGAAUGCGUUGCUACAGAAUGUGUGAUCCACUCUUGGCUGUGAUGAUACAUGUUUCUGGGGUGCUGGCAAAGGGACAGCUUCCCAAAUAACUAUAUUGAAGCUAGAGGUGGGCCGGAGCACCAGCAAACCACUCUGUGGAGGCAGAGCACAGUUGUAUGGGGGUCCUCAAUCUGUGUUUUCUCAGGUGGGAACAGCGGGAUCUGGGAGGACUCCUGUGGCUCCCUGUUCGCCAGUUAUAGACUAAAUUUAGACACUGAGCCUGGUGAUCAUAAAUGCCUCUUGCUACCUGAACAGACAUCUCCAGCUCACUGCUCAGGGCCAGUAAGCAAAGCUAUUCUGUGAGAAAGGCAGAUGUUAGUUGAACGUUGUCUCCACUUGUUUAAGACAAGCCUAUGGAAUAUAUUUACAAAAAUGCUUUCCCUUCCAGUUUGCCUCCUGUCAGCUCAUAACUACAGAAGAUGUUCACAAACCCUGAAAUGGCAUCAAAGUCGUGAGUCAUGAGUCAAAACAGGAUCUAGUCAAAGUUUCUUAAAGACCUACUAAUACAAAAGCAGUUCAAAGUUCUCAGAAUUGGUGAUGUAUACAGGCUGACAUUGAGGUCAUAAUGAUUAACCUCAUUCUUUUUCAAGCCUUUGUCUACUACUAUUACUACUACUACUACUCACACACACACACACACACACACACGCGCGCGCGCGCGCGCACACACACAAGAUGCAAUAAAAACCCAUCUUUCCUCCACCCCACUUUACCUCUUAUGAAAUUAUAUAUUGAAGUCUUAAUUCCAGUAUACCACUCCAAACACCAGAAUGAAUAGGUCUAAGCCUUUAAGAACAAAGCCCAAGGGUUUGUUUUACUCCAUUUCAUGUGCUGCUUAUUUACAACAGAUGGUCAAAAACACUCGUCAUACUAAAUCUUGCUUGUGUGGCCGUUGAGAAAUUCCUUUUGGCCGUCACAGGUAAACAUAUUAAUUGUUGCACAAGCAAACUGGAAUGAUUUCAGUAGAAAUGAAGCAGAGGGGAAGUGAUUUUUCUGCCUUAGGAGAUAAGGGUUGGAUGGUGGUGGUGUCUUGCUUGCUCUUCCUUGCACUACAAUGAGAUCCUUCAAUAUGACUAUCUCCUACCACUACGUCUACUCAAAGUCUUAGCCAAUUACAACCCAAGUCUAGGAGCGUCUAUUUCUAGGAGUUGAAAGGGGAGUGGUGUAGGGUGGGGUGGGGGGAUAGCAUGACAAAUGACAACAUCACUUGAGUCUUUGAAGCAAAAGCAAAAGCUUGUGCUUAUCUAGAAAGAAUCUCAAUGCUAAGGAGCUUUAGUUCAGCUCGGCCUUUGAAAAAGGGAAGAUUCUCCUUGUACUGGCUGGUUUUGUGUCAACUUGA
rnacentral:sRNA from 1 species